CAGCAACGCAGAUGAGACAUCUAGUCUUUAUAUAUAAAUCUAUGACAAAGACAGCCAGCGACAGGAAACAGAGACUCCGAGCCUGCAGCGACCCCUGUUGGACUAGAUGAAGAGGAAACAAAACUGCACACAUUGUGAUGGUGGUCUCCAGAUGGAGAUAAAUAUGUGGUGGUGUUAGAUGAUGAGGUGAACAUCUAUGAACUGGAGACGGCGUCGGUGAAGGGAACAAUCACGAACCCCAAAAGAAUCUCGUCUGUUAAGUUCUUAAAUAACUCCCUCCUGGCCGUCGCAGGAGAUGAUGAGAUUGUGAGGUUGUGUGAAUUGGAAAAACUGAAAUGUGUGUGUGAGUUCAAGGCUCAUGAAACCAGGGUGAAAGCAGUGGACAGUUUUAUGAUGGAGGAUUACUGCGUGUUGGUGACAGCUUCCAAUGACAGAUUGAUCGAGAUGUGGAAGCUCCACCUGUGUUGUUUUUUGUAAACAGUUUGGGAGAAGAAGCCGUUCUAUUUCAACCAA